ACGGAAGGCAGCAGUGGGGAAUAUUGCACAAUGGGCGAAAGCCUGAUGCAGCGACGCCGCGUGAGUGAAGAAGUAUCUCGGUAUGUAAAGCUCUAUCAGCAGGGAAGAAAAUGACGGUACCUGACUAAGAAGCCCCGGCUAACUACGUGCCAGCAGCCGCGGUAAUACAUAGGGGGCAAGCGUUAUCCGGAUUUACUGGGUGUAAAGGGAGCGUAGACGGUUUGGCAAGUCUGAAGUGAAAUGCGGGGGCUCAACUCCUGAACUGCUUUGGAAACUGUCGAACUAGAGUGCAGGAGAGGUAAGUGGAAUUCCUAGUGUAGCGGUGAAAUGCGUAGAUAUUAGGAGGAACACCAGUGGCGAAGGCGGCUUACUGGACUGUAACUGACGUUGAGGCUCGAAAGCGUGGGGAGCAAACAGGAUUAGAUACCCUGGUA
rnacentral:rRNA from 2 species